GUGGAUUAGAUACCCUGGUAGUCCACACCGUAAACGUUGGGCGCUAGGUGUGGGAUCCAUUCCACGGGUUCCGUGCCGCAGCUAACGCAUUAAGCGCCCCGCCUGGGGAGUACGGCCGCAAGGCUAAAACUCAAAGGAAUUGACGGGGGCCCGCACAAGCGGCGGAGCAUGCGGAUUAAUUCGAUGCAACGCGAAGAGCCUUACCUGGGUUUGACAUAGGAAGAAAACCAUCAGAGAUGGUGGGUCCGUAAGGGUUUCCUACAGGUGGUGCAUGGUCGUCGCCAACU
rnacentral:rRNA from 1 species